AUGGGGUUUCACCAUACUGGUCAGGCUGGUCUGGAACUCUUGACCUUAGGUUAUCCACCCAUCUUGGCCUUCCAAAGUGCUGGGAUUACAGGUGUGAGCCACUGUGUCCGGCCCAAGUGCAGUGCUUUUUUCUCCACUCUCUUCCCCUCCCCUCUCUUCUCCAAGGUGGCAUCUGUAUCCUGGGGUGAAGGAAGAAGAGAGACUCUUGGAUGGGCAUUUGAGGUGGCAGCUUCCAAGAGUCCCUCAAGGGACUGGGGCUUCCUUGCCUGCCCAGCUGAGCUGUCAUCCUGUUGGCUUUGAGGGCAGCGGUGUCCAGUCUCCGACAGUGAUGUAGACAGGACCUCUGCAUCACUUCUAGGACAUCUCCAGUUGGAGAGUGAGAGAGGGAAAAUGCUCAAACAGGCUGGGGGGCUCAAGAACAUCUCCCGUGAGUUGGGGACAGCCCACUUGGGGGUGGGAACACUCCCUGAUUUCCUGGUAAGUUGCCGCAUUUGUAUUCAUUAGAUUAUUUGUUUACUUGUUUCUCUCCCCUGAUAAACUAAAUUCACAGAGGGCAAGGCUCUUGUCUUGACUUUGCAAUAAUAAUAGUUUUCACUGGUUGAUUGCCUGCUCUUGGCCAUGCUUUGUGUUGAAUUCUUUACAUACAUUAGCUCUAAUCUGCAUGGUAGAUUAUCCCUCUUUGACAGAUAGGGAAAUGGAGCUCCAAGAGGUUAAGUACGUUGUCCACAGUUAGACAGUUGUAUGGGACAGAGCUGGAAUUUACAUUCAUGGACUUUUCAUCUUUCCAACAGCCUCUUACAUACCUGAUGUCUGCACCAUACUGAGUAUUAAAUACACACCUGUGGAAUGAAUGAAGAUAUUCGUAGCUGCUUCUCUUCCUCUUCUCUAUGGCUCCUCUAUGACCUCGUUAACUUUGGGAGAGAAGGCUGGCUGUUGGCAGAAGUUGAAAAUCUACCCUCCCUUUCUUUGUGUCUUUCCUAUUUUGCAAGCUACCAUUCCGGAAGCAUACGGAAGCAACACCAUGUAGUAGAAAGAACACUCAAUUUGGAUUUCAACAGAGCUGGCUUGGAACCCUGGCUCCACCAAAAGCUCUGUGAAGUUAUUUAACCUCUUUGAACCUCAGGUUCCCUGUCUAUAUAAUGAGCAUAACAGCACCCAUGGCAGAAGCAUGGUGAGGAUUUGGUGGCACAUGGAUGUAAGUGGCACCUGGGCACUGGGCUCAGAGGUGGAAUUCAGGAAGUGGAACUUCCCCCAUUUUCCCUCAGACACCUUCAUGCCUGAUCUCUGCCCCACUCUUGGG
rnacentral:lncRNA from 1 species